rnacentral:piRNA from 1 species
UGGCAGACUCCUCUACUGUAGAAGGUG